CAAAUCUGGGAAAAAUAUUUGUUCUGCUUAAAGAGACGCAAGUAAGUUUGGGAGUUAGUCUCUGCCUUAUUAACUUGGCCACAAGCUGCUGAUAAAUAAAUCAUUUUAGUUUUUGGCAUACUGCAAAGAUCAUAACAAGAGCUGUGUGUUGGGAGGCCUUGAAAGCCAGCAAGGUACAUCUAUAUAAUUCAAAAAAAGAGAUGAAGACUGCAUUACCCACCAUUUUGAGAGUUCACCGCAUUGAGGACACAGCCUCAAAGACAGCCUCAGUUGUCUUUGGGGACUGAAUACAAUUAACAAGGAGGAUGUGAUACUUCCCGAAGACUCAGCA